CUUCAACAUAAGCUACAGAGCUUUUUCGGGGCCAGUGGGAAGUUCUGCCUCACUGACCACAACAAGUGGACUAGGAACCAGAUGGCAUGUGGGGAAAAAGGCUAUAUAUAUGGAAUUCAAAAUGACAUUUUCCAGCGAUUCAUUUGACUGAACUCAAUUUGACCUUCACAUUGGCCUAAGAAAACCGUAAAUGAUGGGCCUACAUCGCCACAUGUUACCACUUAUAAUUUAAAUGACAUAUAAAGCAAGUGUAAACCUUGGAUUUUAGAGAGCCACUUCUUCCCAGUGCUCAAGCAUUUCACACAGAAAUACCUGCUAACAGCCCUGCUGUGGACCCCUAGAUGAUAUUUACAGAAAAUGUGUUGCCUCAAAACCGGAAGGAGAGAAUAACCCACAAAGAGCACAAAUCACAAAGCAACUGAUUCCACAGAAAGUCCGUCAGGGGGACGUGGCCUCCCUGUGUGUUUACCGAGCAGACCCUUCCCCAGUCUGCCCAGGACACUGGACUGAUUUUCUCCCUUUUGGCACAUCACUUUGCAUUUCAAAAAUUAGCGGUCUAUUCUGGAAACCAUCUUC